GUGGUCAUUUCAACAGCACAUAUACUAAAAUUGGAAUGAUACAGAGAAGAUUAGCAUGGCCUCUGUGCAAGGAUGACAUAAAAAGUAGGAAAUCUUA
rnacentral:snRNA from 1 species